AUGGCUAGCUCUAUCAAGCAGCAGCAACUGCUGUUGCAGCAGAGGAAGGGGAAGGCCGUGGCUGACAAGGGCGCACCGGCUGCUGCUGCUGCUGAGGAGAAGGUGGUGGUGGCGGUGCGUGCUGCCAUUAGGGAGAUCUCCAAGACAGCCAUCGUCUGGGCUUUGACGCACGUCGUGCAGCCCGGCGGCAGCAUCAUACUCCUCGUUGUCAUCCCGGCACAGAGCUCUGGCAGGAAGUUCUGGGGCUUUCCUCUAUUUGCGGGAGAUUGCGCAAGUGGCCAUAAGACCAUGUUGGAUCAGAAGUCAGAUGUCUCAGAGCUGUGUUCCCAAAUGAUGCUCAAACUUCAUGAUGUUUAUGAUGCAAGCAAGAUAAAUGUUAAGGUUAAGGUUGUUUCUGGAUCUCCUCCUGGUGUCGUAGCUGCUGAAUCUAAGCGAGCACAAGCAAGCUGGGUUGUGCUAGAUAAGGAGUUGAAGCAUGAAGAGAAGCGUUGCAUGGAAGAGUUACAGUGCAACAUUGUUGUCAUGAAGCGUUCUCAGCCUAAAGUUCUCCGUCUGAAUCUUAUGGGAUCUCCCGAUAAAGAGUCCAAAGGAUCCUGUUCACUUCCAGCAGUGUUGGAUAGUUCUGUUGGUAAAACAGCAACUGAUGUAAAGGAGCCGCGGAGUUCAGUUCGAGGACCAGCUGUAACACCAAAUAGCAGCCCAGACUUAGAGACGCCUUUUGGAAGUACCGAAGCGGGAACAUCCUCAGUCUCAAGUUCAGAUCCAGGGACUUCUCCAUUUUGUGCUUCUGAAACAACUGUUUCUCUAAAGAAAGAGGUACAAGCAACAAAGGAUAAGAUCCAGCAUUCGGAUGUCAAUAUUUCUGAUACCGACAGUGAAAUAUUGAGUCCCUCAGCAACCUUCUCGCUUCAGCCAUGGAUGGUCGAAAUUCUACAGGGAUCUGCAUCCUCAAAACCGCCACGAAAAACUCGCACCCCAACUGCAGAUACUUUGCUUGAGAAGAUCUCCAAGUUAGAUCUUUUGCAUGAAAUAAGUUCUAUGAGAAGCAGAUCAGACUUAAACUUUAGAGGAAAUGUCAGGGACGCUGUCUCGUUAGCAAGGAGCGCACCUCCUGGGCCGCCUCCAUUGUGUUCGAUAUGUCAGCACAAGGCUCCUGUGUUUGGGAAACCUCCUCGGUGGUUUAGUUACGCUGAACUUGAACUUGCAACGGGUGGUUUCUCCCAGGCAAAUUUCCUGGCUGAAGGUGGAUUUGGAUCUGUUCAUCGAGGCGUCCUUCCUGAUGGUCAGGCAAUUGCUGUCAAGCAACAUAAGCUUGCUAGUUCCCAGGGUGAUGUUGAAUUUUGCUCAGAGGUGGAAGUUCUGAGUUGUGCACAACACCGUAAUGUUGUAAUGCUCAUUGGUUUUUGUGUUGAGGAAAGGAGGCGUUUACUGGUUUAUGAGUACAUCUGCAAUGGAUCCUUGGACUCACAUCUUUAUGGUCGCAAUAAUAAAGACACACUGGAAUGGGCAGCUAGACAAAAGAUUGCUGUUGGUGCUGCUCGAGGGUUGCGGUAUCUACACGAGGAAUGUAGAGUUGGCUGCAUUAUCCAUCGGGACAUGAGACCAAACAACAUCCUUGUCACACAUGAUUUUGAACCUCUGGUUGGAGAUUUUGGUCUAGCACGAUGGCAACCCGAUGGAGACAUGGGUGUUGAAACAAGAGUCAUCGGCACAUUUGGUUAUCUGGCACCAGAGUAUGCGCAGAGUGGACAAAUAACAGAGAAGGCUGAUGUAUACAGUUUUGGUGUCGUGUUGGUAGAACUUGUCACUGGGCGCAAGGCUGUUGACAUUAGCCGACCUAAGGGCCAACAGUUUCUAACUGAAUGGGCACGCCAUCUCUUGGAGGAUAAUGCAGUCGACGAGCUCAUAGACCCAUGCUUGGGGGACCGAUACAGCGAAAAUGAGGUCCGUUGCAUGUUGCAUGCCGCAAACCUGUGCAUACGACGUGAUCCUCAUUCAAGGCCUCGCAUGUCUCAUGUUCUUCGCUUGCUCGAGGGCGACAUGGUUGUCGAUUCCGUCUCCGUUUCGGCCCCAAGUAGCGAUUCUGCGAGCAGGAGCUGGCGAAAGGCAAAUGAUCAACAGCAUUAUCAGGACUACAGCAGCCCAGCCCGGCAAGAUUCGCAGCGAGUGGUUGGAAGGAAACAACAAUCUUAUGACGCUUUGAGGGCUGCCUGGGACCGAGACAAGAAGAGCAUCUCUAACCGAUAUUAA
rnacentral:rRNA from 1 species